rnacentral:rRNA from 1 species
GAUGAACGCUGGCGGCGUGCCUAAUACAUGCAAGUCGAGCGAACGGACGAGAAGCUUGCUUCUCUGAUGUUAGCGGCGGACGGGUGAGUAACACGUGGAUAACCUACCUAUAAGACUGGGAUAACUUCGGGAAACCGGAGCUAAUACCGGAUAAUAUUUUGAACCGCAUGGUUCAAAAGUGAACGACGGUCUUGCUGUCACUUAUAGAUGGAUCCGCGCUGCAUUAGCUAGUUGGUAAGGUAACGGCUUACCAAGGCAACGAUGCAUAGCCGACCUGAGAGGGUGAUCGGUCACACUGGAACUGAGACACGGUCCAGACUCCUACGGGAGGCAGCAGUAGGGAAUCUUCCGCAAUGGGCGAAAGCCUGACGGAGCAACGCCGCGUGAGUGAUGAAGGUCUUCGGAUCGUAAAACUCUGUUAUUAGGGAAGAACAUAUGUGUAAGUAACUGUGCACAUCUUGACGGUACCUAAUCAGAAAGCCACGGCUAACUACGUG